rnacentral:rRNA from 1 species
CGAGAGUAGUACUAGGAUGGGUGACCUCCUGGGAAGUCUCGUGUUGCAUCCC